CUUGGGACUGUUACUUGCGGGAUCACAACAUAGGUUUUGAUUUGGAAAGAUAUAUUUGUCCAUUUGAAAUUAAUACUUGCUAAUUGUUCUUCAUGAAUCCAAGGACAUCCAAUACCAUAUCUUGUGCUGACGUGGAAGUCUUCAUCACAGGCAACAAUGGUGGAGGAUCAUAUAAAAUCUCUAAGUGUCUUCAAUAGGGAGCUAUAGCUAAGUCAGUAGGGUUCCACUUUAUUGUUGGGACCGUGAUCAAUAAUGAUUGGAGAUGAUUAGAUGGUCAUUUAUACAUGUUUGGUGCUCCACUUGAAGGUGUCUCAGACUCCACAACUCUGUUGGGUAUUUCACGCUUAUAUAUGAAAAUGACAAUUAUCUUUUAAGAUA